rnacentral:rRNA from 1 species
GGUCCAGACUCCUACGGGAGGCAGCAGUGGGGAAUAUUGCACAAUGGGGGGAACCCUGAUGCAGCGACGCCGCGUGAGUGAAGAAGUAUUUCGGUAUGUAAAGCUCUAUCAGCAGGGAAGAAAAUGACGGUACCUGACUAAGAAGCCCCGGCUAACUACGUGCCAGCAGCCGCGGUAAUACGUAGGGGGCAAGCGUUAUCCGGAUUUACUGGGUGUAAAGGGAGCGUAGACGGUUAUGCAAGUCUGAAGUGAAAGCCCGAGGCUCAACCAUGGGACUGCUUUGGAAACUGUAAAACUGGAGUGCAGGAGAGGUAAGCGGAAUUCCUAGUGUAGCGGUGAAAUGCGUAGAUAUCAGGAGGAACACCGGCGGCGAAGGCGGCCUGCUGGACCGUGACUGACGUUGAGGCUCGAGAGCGUGGGGAGCAAACAGGAUUAGAUACCCCUGUA